CAUAUAUCCUAUUGAUAGAUGACGUGCUUCGUAUUUUAUUAAAAUUAUUACCUGACUAGGUUAAAAAGGUGUGGAAUGUUAUUUUGGAGAUAACUUGGUUCCAUAGAAAUAUAGAGAGAUGCUAAGUAAUGCGCUGAGUUCGAAACUCAGUGUCGUAUUAGCAAUUCAUACACACAAAGAAAUCAAAUUAUGUGCUCAUUAUCCAUUGCGGUAUCAGUAUUCAACGUUCGAAUAAUCUUUAGUACUAUGCAAGCAAUAUAAAUUGUUUACAUAAUGACGUCGCUACUGUCAUCAUUGCUUUCACAAGCAAUAUGUUCCAAUUUGUCCCUUGUCACAUUUCCCUAUAGUUUCUGUGAUCUGUGCUUGUUUCUAAGUUGAUAUCAAUGAAAUAUUCCUUAGUACUUUUGAUUUAAAUUAUUUUUUUUUAUUUUGACACGUGUUUGAAAAAUCAAGGUCAGAUUACAAUAAAAUAACAAGUGAAAACGUAACAUUGCAUUGCAACUCACAAUUUCGCAAUAUUGAUGAGGAGAUUCCAUUGGAAAGUCUGUAUUCAUUCCUAGGAUUCCCCUAACACCAUCAAAUUCAAGAGAAUUCAAGAGAGUGCAGUUUCCCAUCUCAUGCUUAGGGACCACGGUUUAAAAUAGUGUGGUUGCAUAGAGCUCAUACUAAUUUUCGAUACAAAAGCAAGUGUUGGCGCCCUCACGAGUUUUAGCGGAGUUCCAUAUGGAAGUGGGAGUAGACUUAAUGGAAAGCAAGUGUUGGCGCCCUCACGAGUUUUAGCGGAGUUCCAUAUGGAAGUGGGAGUAGACUUAAUGGAAAUCUAUGCUUCUCCGACGACCAGUUGUAUGUGGAAUACUCCAGAGUAUGCGCACACAAUAGCCUGGUGAUUUUAGCACCUGAAGGAAAAACAAAAAAACAUUGUUUACAAAGAAAUCUGCGGCAGGUGUAGUGUUUUAAUUUGUUUUAGAAAGAUCUUAUAAUUUUCUCUGUCUGAUAAUGGAUCUGGAGGAGAUGCAAUGGCCACCUCCGUAACAAAACAAUAGAACCCUAUGGAGUUUGGGCUUGUGUGAUUCGCCUUGACGAAUAUUUCGUAUCCAGGGUCCGAUGAUGGAGCUGUAAGGGGGCAGAUUUUUUUUUCACUAUGUGACUGUCUUUAUUUUGUACUUAAUAUAUUUUACAUAUUAUA